rnacentral:rRNA from 1 species
GUAUAGCAAUAGCUACUUGCAUCAUAGUAGAUAUGAUGCAAGAUCGACUAUGUUGAAUAAAAUUCUAGGUAGAAUUAUGAUAAUGACAUUGUCUGCCUAUGUGUCUUGACCAAWUUACGUGCCAGCAGUCGCGGUAAUACGUAGAAGACUAGUGUUAUUCAUGUUUAWYCGGUUUAAAGGGUACCUAGACGGUAGAUCAAGCUUUCUAAUAAAGGAAAAGGACUAAUUUACUAGAGUUACUUAUGAGGGGGUAUUAAAGUACUGCUGGUGUAGAGAUGAAAUUCUGUCAUACCUCUUUUCAAAAGAAAAACCAUGGCACAGGUAUAGGCGAAGGCAUCCCCUUAUGUGAUAACUGACGUUGAGGGACGAAGGCUUUGUGUAGCGAACAGGAUUAGAUACCCCAGUAGUCGAAGCAGAAAAUGAUGAAUGUCAUAGAUUAGAUAUAUAAGUUUAUUCUAUAAAUGAAAGUGUAAGCAUUCCACCUCAUGAGUAAUUUGGCAACAUUGGAACUGAAAUCAUUAGACCGUUUCUGAAACCAGUAGUGAAGUAUGUUGUUUAAUUUGAUGACCCGCAAAAAACCUUACCACAAUUUGAAUAUUUAUAUUAUUUAUUGUUUUAUUAUUAAUUUUCUUAUAGUAAGAAUAUUAAUAAAGAGGCAAUAAGAUAUAUUUACAAGCGUUGCACGGCUGUCUUCAGUUAAUGUCGCGAGACUUUGGUUAGUUCCAUUAAAUUAACGUAAACCCUUACUUUAUUUUUAUAUAGAGUAGUUCCCCGCUAUAUGGAUAUGAUAACAGG